CGCCUCCUGCAAUAUAAAGUAUAGGAGGUCCAGCCUGCCCAGUGACUACGGGUUCAACGGCCGCGGUAUAUUGACCGUGCAAAGGUAGCGCAAUCACUUGUCUUUUAAAUAGAGACCUGUAUGAAUGGCUAGACGAGGGCUUAACUGUCUCCCCCCUCCAGUCAGUGAAAUUGAUCUAUCCGUGCAGAAGCGGGUAUAAUACUACAAGACGAGAAGACCCUUUGGAGCUUAAGGUACAAAAUUCAGCCACGUCAAGCAACUCCGUGGAAAGCAAGAACUUAGUGGCCGUGAAUUUUUACCUUCGGUUGGGGCGACCACGGAGGAAAAGCAAGCCUCCGAGUGGACUGGGCCAAGACCCCUAAAGCUAUAAGAGACAUCUUUAAGCCGCAGAACAUCUGACCAAUAAUGAUCCGGCUAAAAGCCGAUCAACGGACCAAGUUACCCUAGGGAUAACAGCGCAAUCCUCUCCCAGAGCCCAUAUCGACGAGGGGGUUUACGACCUCGAUGUUGGAUCAGGACAUCCUGGUGGUGCAGCCGCUAUUAAGGGUUCGUUUGUUCAACGAUUAAAGUCCU
rnacentral:rRNA from 1 species